AAAUUGUUGAAGCAGCCAGUAAUGUAGAAAUUGUUCUGAUUGAACUCCUUGUUCUACUCUUUCCCCCUUCUCACUACUGCACUUGACUAGUCUAAA
rnacentral:sRNA from 1 species